GACGAACGCUGGCGGCGUGCCUAAUACAUGCAAGUCGAGCGAACCAAUAAGAAGCUUGCUUUUUUGUUGGUUAGCGGCGGACGGGUGAGUAACACGUGGGUAACCUGCCUGUAAGACCGGGAUAACUCCGGGAAACCGUGCUAAUACCGGAUAGAUUAUCUUUCCGCCUGGAGAGAUAAGGAAAGAUGGCUAUUGCCAUCACUUACAGAUGGGCCCGCGGCGCAUUAGCUAGUUGGUGAGGUAACGGCUCACCAAGGCGACGAUGCGUAGCCGACCUGAGAGGGUGAUCGGCCACACUGGGACUGAGACACGGCCCAGACUCCUACGGGAGGCAGCAGUAGGGAAUCUUCCGCAAUGGACGAAAGUCUGACGGAGCAACGCCGCGUGAGUGAAGAAGGUC
rnacentral:rRNA from 1 species